UACCAGCACCCCGAGUGGUCGGGACGUUUAUUGGGCCUAAAGCAUCCGUAGCCGGUUCUACAAGUCUUCCGUUAAAUCCAACUGCUUAACAGGUGGGCUGCGGAAGAUACUAUAGAGCUAGGAGGCGGGAGAGGCAAGCGGUACUCGGUGGGUAGGGGUAAAAUCCGUUGAUCCAUUGAAGACCACCAGUGGCGAAGGCGGCUUGCCAGAACGCGCUCGACGGUGAGGGAUGAAAGCUGGGGGAGCAAACCGG
rnacentral:rRNA from 1 species